GCUGGCGGCAGGCCUUAACAACAUUGCAAGUCGAGCGGCCAGCGCGGGGCAACCUGGCGGCGAGCGGCGGACGGGUGAGGAAUGCAUCGGAAUCUACCCUGUCGUGGGGGAUAACGUAGGGAAACUUACGCUAAUACCGCAUACGACCGAGAGGUGAAAGUGGGGGACCGCAAGGCCUCACGCGAUUGGAUGAGCCGAUGCCGGAUUAGCUAGUUGGAGGGGUAAAGGCCCACCAAGGCGACGAUCCGUAGCUGGUCUGAGAGGAUGAUCAGCCACAUUGGGACUGAGACACGGCCCAAACUCCUACGGGAGGCAGCAGUGGGGAAUAUUGGACAAUGGGCGCAAGCCUGAUCCAGCCAUGCCGCGUGUGUGAAGAAGGCCUUCGGGUUGUAAAGCACUUUUGUUCGGGANGAAAUCGUGCGGAUUAAUACUCUGUACGGAUGACGGUACCGAAAGAAUAAGCACCGGCUAACUUCGUGCCAGCAGCCGCGGUAAUACGAAGGGUGCAAGCGUUACUCGGAAUCACUGGGCGUAAAGCGUGCGUAGGCGGUUCGUUAAGUCUGCUGUGAAAGCCCUGGGCUCAACCUGGGAACUGCAGUGGAUACUGGCGGACUAGAGUGUGAUAGAGGAUGGUGGAAUUCCCGGUGUAGCGGUGAAAUGCGUAGAGAUCGGGAGGAACACCAGUGGCGAAGGCGGCCAUCUGGAUCAACACUGACGCUGAGGCACGAAAGCGUGGGGAGCAAACAGGAUUAGAUACCCUGGUAGUCCACGCCCUAAACGAUGCGAACUGGACGUUGGUUGCAACUUGGCAAUCAGUGUCGAAGCUAACGCGUUAAGUUCGCCGCCUGGGGAGUACGGUCGCAAGACUGAAACUCCAAGGAUUGACGGGGGCCCGCACAAGCGGUGGAGUAUGUGGUUUAAUUCGAUGCAACGCGAAGAACCUUACCUGGCCUUGACAUCCAGUGAACUUUCCAGAGAUGGAUUGGUGCCUUCGGGAACACUGAGACAGGUGCUGCAUGGCUGUCGUCAGCUCGUGUCGUGAGAUGUUGGGUUAAGUCCCGCAACGAGCGCAACCCUUGUCCUUAGUUGCCAGCACGUAAAGGUGGGAACUCUAAGGAGACUGCCGGUGACAAACCGGAGGAAGGUGGGGAUGACGUCAAGUCAUCAUGGCCCUUACGGCCAGGGCUACACACGUACUACAAUGGUCGGUACAGAGGGUUGCAAUACCGCGAGGUGGAGCCAAUCCCAGAAAACCGAUCCCAGUCCGGAUCGGAGUCUGCAACUCGACUCCGUGAAGUCGGAAUCGCUAGUAAUCGCGGAUCAGCUAUGCCGCGGUGAAUACGUUCCCGGGCCUUGUACACACCGCCCGUCACACCAUGGGAGUUGGUUGCUCCAGAAGUAGGUAGUCUAACCGCAGGGGGGACGCUUACCACGGAAUGGUCAAUGACUGGGGUG
rnacentral:rRNA from 1 species